rnacentral:rRNA from 1 species
CCCUUAGAUGUUCUGGGCCGCACGCGCGCUACACUGAUGCAUUCAACGAGUCUAAAACCUGGUCUGAUAGGGCUGGGUAAUCUUUUGAAUGUGCAUCGUGAUUGGGAUAGAUGAUUGCAAUUCUUCAUCUUCAACGAGGAAUGCCUAGUAAACGCAAGUCAUCAGCUUGCAUUGAUUACGUCCCUGCCCUUUGUACACACCGCCCGUCGCUCCUACCGAUUGAAUGUUCCGAUGAAUACCAUGGACUGAGAGUAUGAAUGGGUUCGCCUAUUUCUGCUUCUCGGGAAGUGGAGUAAAUCUUAACAUUUAGAGGAAGGAGAGGUCGUAACA